rnacentral:rRNA from 1 species
CCUACGGGUGGCAGCAGUGAGGAAUAUUGGUCAAUGGACGAGAGUCUGAACCAGCCAAGUCGCGUUAAGGAUGACUGCCCUAUGGGUUGUAAACUUCUUUUAUAUGGGAAUAAAAUGUUCCACGUGUGGGAUUUUGUCUGUACCAUAUGAAUAAGGAUCGACUAACUCCGGGCCAGCAGCCGCGGUAAUACGGAGGAUCCGAGCGUUAUCCGGAUUUAUUGGGUUUAACGGGAGCGUAGGUGGAUUGGUAAGUCAGUGGUGAAAGUGUGCGGCUCAACCGUAAAAUUGCAGUUGAAACUGGCAGUCUUGAGUACAGUAGAGGUGGGCGGAAUUCGUGGUGUAGCGGUGAAAUGCUUAGAUAUCACGAAGAACUCCGAUGGCGAAGGCAGCUCACUGGACUGCAACUGACACUGAGGCUCGAAAGUGUGGGUAGCAAACAGGAUUAGAUACCCUAGUAGUC